AACAGGAUUAGAUACCCUGGUAGUCCACGCUGUAAGCGAUGUCGACUUGGAGGUUGUGCCCUUGAGGCGUGGCUUCCGGAGCUAACGCGUUAAGUCGACCGCCUGGGGAGUACGGCCGCAAGGUUAAAACUCAAAUGAAUUGACGGGGGCCCGCACAAGCGGUGGAGCAUGUGGUUUAAUUCGAUGCGACGCGAAGAACCUUACCUACUCUUGACAUCCAGAGAAUUUGCUAGAGAUAGCUUAGUGCCUUCGGGAACUCUGAGACAGGUGCUGCAUGGCUGUCGUCAGCUCGCGUUGUGAAAUGUUGGGUUAAGUCCCGCAACGAGCGCAACCCUUAUCCUUUGUUGCCAGCGAGUCAUGUCGGGAACUCAAAGGAGACUGCCGGUGAUAAACCGGAGGAAGGUGGGGAUGACGUCAAGUCAUCAUGGCCCUUACAAGUAGGGCUACACACGUGCUACAAUGGCAUAUACAAAGAGAAGCGAACUCGCGAGAGCAAGCGGACCUCAUAAAGUAUGUCGUAGUCCGGAUUGGAGUCUGCAACUCGACUCCAUGAAGUCGGAAUCGCUAGUAAUCGUAGAUCAGAAUGCUACGGUGAAUACGUUCCCGGGCCUUGUACACACCGCCCGUCACACCAUGGGAGUGGGUUGCAAAAGAAGUAGGUAGCUUAACCUUCGGGAGGGCGCUUACCACUUUGUGAUUCAUGACUGGGGUGAAGUCGUAACAAGGUAACC
rnacentral:rRNA from 1 species